rnacentral:rRNA from 1 species
AGCGAACGCUGGCGGCAGGCCUAACACAUGCAAGUCGAACGCACCUUCGGGUGAGUGGCGGACGGGUGAGUAACACGUGGGAACGUACCUUUUGGUUCGGAAUAACGCAGGGAAACUUGUGCUAAUACCGAAUGUGCCCUUCGGGGGGAAAGAUUUAUCGCCAUUAGAGCGGCCCGCGUUAGAUUAGCUAGUUGGUUGGA